AUGCAUGUCUAAGUACAGGCCUAAGGAAGGCGAAACCGCGAAUGGCUCAUUAAAUCAGUUAUGGUUCAUUGGAUCCUACCAUUUCUUACUUGGAUAACUGUGGUAAUUCUAGAGCUAAUACAUGCCGACCAGUAGCUCCGACGCGCCCCGGCGUGGAAGAGCGCUUUUAUUAGAUCAAAACCCGUCCUCCCCCGGGAGGUCAAACCCCCUCAGUGGUGACUCUGAAUAACUUUUAGCUGAGCGCACGGCCCCCGCGCCGGCGCCGCAUCUUUCAAGUGUCUGCCUUAUCAGCUCUCGAUUGUAGGUUAUGCGCCUACAAUGGCUAUAACGGGUAACGGGGAAUCAGGGUUCGAUUCCGGAGAGGGAGCCUGAGAAACGGCUACCACA
rnacentral:rRNA from 1 species